UCACGUGCGGCUGACGAUCGAUCGAUCGCGCUGCGGCUGAGGCGCUGUGAUUGCUCAGUCUCAAAGUAAACUCUCUGAUGCCCUGUGG